UACGAAGGACCCAAGCGUUAUCCGGAUUUAUUGGGUUUAAAGGGUGCGUAGGCGGGUUAUUAAGUCAGUGGUGAAAGCCUACAGCUUAACUGUAGAACUGCCAUUGAUACUGAUGAUCUUGAGUAUGAUUGAGGUGGGCGGAAUGUGUCAUGUAGCGGUGAAAUGCUUAGAUAUGACACAGAACACCGAUUGCGAAGGCAGCUCACUAAGCCAUAACUGACGCUGAUGCACGAAAGCGUGGGGAGCAAACAGG
rnacentral:rRNA from 1 species